rnacentral:rRNA from 1 species
UAGUGAGUUUGAUCCUGGCUCAGGAUGAACGCUGGCGGUCUGCUUAACACAUGCAAGUCGAACGCAAGUAGAAAUACUUGAGUGGCGGACGGGUGAGUAACGCAUGAGAAUCUGUCCUUCGUGGGUCGGGACAACCACGUAGGAAACGGUGGCUAAGUACCGGAUAUGCCUAGUGGGUUAAAGAUUAAUUGCCAGAAGAAGAGCUCGCGUCUGAUUAGCUAGUUGGAGAGGUAAAGGCUCACCAAGGCAUCGAUCAGUAGCUGGUCUGAGAGGAUGAUCAGCCACACGUGGAACUG